rnacentral:rRNA from 1 species
GCGGGGGGGCAAGCGUUGUUCGGAAUUACUGGGCGUAAAGGGCUCGUAGGCGGCCAACUAAGUCCGACGUGAAACUCCCCAGGCUUAACCUGGGAACUGCGUCGGAUACUGGAUGGCUUGAAUUCGGGAGAGGGAUGCAGAAUUCCAGGUGUAGCGGUGAAAUGCAUAGAUAUCUGGAGGAAUACCGGUGGCGAAGGCGGCAUCCUGGACCGACAUUGACGCUGAGUGAGCGAAAGCUAGGGGAGCAAACGGGAUUAGAUACCCCGGUAGUCCUAGCCCUAAACGAUGAAUGCUUGGUGUGGCGGGUAUCGAUCCCUGCCGUGCCGAAGCUAACGCAUUAAGCAUUCCGCCUGGGGAGUACGGUCGCAAGGCUG